GUCUUGAUCCGGCCUCAUUUCUCCGUUUCUUAGGCCUAGUGAUCUUAGUAGACUUAUGUUGGACCUGCCUUUUAGAGGGGAACACCAUUCCCCGACCAACCCCGAGCUUAUUUGCCUUAUAGAGUGGGGUCCGCCGGGACCGCUGUGGUUUGCCUUUCGACCGGCGUUUAGCAAGUGUUCCACCAUGUGCGUGGGCAUACAUUGUAGUUGGCGAGGUGCAGGACCUUGUUUGGCUUGGUGGGAGUAAAGCUCCUCUGGCUCGCGCAGGGGGUGGUGGUCCCCUUGGGUCCAGAUGCGGUCCCCGCGAGCCCCCCCUCGGUGGAAUUCUGUGUCGUUCGGGUGUAAUGCCCGAGGUCCGGC